rnacentral:piRNA from 1 species
UACAUGUACUGAGACAAGACCUAUGC